AAGGGGCGUGUCAAAGCGCGUGAGUCCGCCUAGAAAAAGUGAGGACAGAGACAGUGUCCAGAGCGGGAGGGUGAUGUCUGUCUUAUCCUCAGCUACGGCUCGGACGGAGCGAGAUGAGCCAUGAAUCCACCUCACUUUGAGUUGCCAUCUUUUCCAGCGCUCUGCAUACUAACAGCGUUACGUAAUUAUACAGUUAUACGAAUGACCGGGUUACGCCAAAAAACCACACACUACCGCACUAAAUACCGUACGAGGCGUAGUUUUGUGCGUACUGUUUCGACGGGUAGUGAUUCAACGCUCGCUUAAAGUUCGAGCCCGGUCAAAAACAAACAAACAAACAGCCGUUUGAAACGGGAAGCGCGUCGGUACUGAAAGUUGGAGGCAGGUCGAAAACUGUGUACAAGACUGAAGAACAUGGCGAGGGUCGGUUUAGAGAACGGCGUCUUAAUUACCUGCUCGAAAAGAGCGCAUAAAACUCCGAGGCGAGCCGGUAAACACCGCGACGUGAACAGGAACGAGGCAGCGAGCGGAAAAAGCCACUGACGACCGAGUUCAAGUCUUCAGAGAAAUUCGCUGAAAGCAAGGCUGACAACGAUGUGAAAACUCCGAUGAGCAGCAUUUUGGGGAAUUGGAGUGAUGAAGUGAUGUUUACAUGGAGAGAAAUGAAGAAAACCAUUACGGCAAGAGUAAAUUCAUGUAAGAUACACUGAGUGUCCCUGAAGCUAAGUGGCAUCACUGUUGUGCAUUUGAAUCCUAAGAAUUUUUUUAUUAUUGUUUUUAAUUCCGACAUUCCCUGACCCUAUAUUUAGUGAACCAUAAUAGUAGUUUGUAAAUUCCUGUAAUGCCAAUGAAGAUCCUGGGCAGUGCAUUUGACACACAUUGUACUGCUGAAUAACUGGUAAGCAAUUUGGAUGUAAAAACAAGAACCACAUAAUGAAAUUGUAAUGCUAAUUCAAAAAGGUCAUUUUAAAAUCUUUGCAGCAAUUGUUUACUGGUUAACAGUUCACUGUUUUCCUGUGGGGGAGUUUGCAAUAACCUGAAACAGCACCUUGAUCACUUAUGCAAGGUUAUUGUUGAAUAUACAGUGUACCGUUAUAGUACUGUAUUUAAUUUAAAUGUUAUGUGCUGUAAUGUAUAUCUUGUUUAAUAAAUCAUUUUUUUUAAAAAUCAA